UGGGGAAUUUUGCGCAAUGGGCGAAAGCCUGACGCAGCAACGCCGCGUGUGUGAUGAAGGUCUUCGGAUUGUAAAGCACUUUCGACCGGGACGAAAACCCCUUGGCUAACAUCCAGGGGCUUGACGGUACCGGGAGAAGAAGCACCGGCUAACUCUGUGCCAGCAGCCGCGGUAAUACAGAGGGUGCAAGCGUUGUUCGGAAUUAUUGGGCGUAAAGCGCGUGUAGGCGGCUUUGCAAGUCGGGUGUGAAAGCCCUCAGCUCAACUGAGGAAGUGCGCCCGAAACUGCAGAGCUUGAGUGCCGGAGAGGGUGGCGGAAUUCCCCAAGUAGAGGUGAAAUUCGUAGAUAUGGGGAGGAACACCGGUGGCGAAGGCGGCCACCUGGACGGCAACUGACGCUGAGACGCGAAAGCGUGGGGAGCAAACAGG
rnacentral:rRNA from 1 species